GCAGCCUACAGAUGAUCUAACAUUUCUGUGACUUCCUGCUGGAAACCGUCCGACUGACUGCUGCUUUAUGUCACCGCCUCCUGCUGCUGGCGCCGGAUCUCGUCCGCUUUCCAGGCUCAGUUCAUCUCGAAGGAGCCGACUGACUCAUGCAGGGGAGGCAACGUACCGAGCCAUCCACCCUCUGAAUGCCCGCGGUCCCUCGUUCGCUGUUGUGCAGUUCCAUGAGGCUGGAGGAGCGUUUGAGCCUCGUUACCAACCAGCUAGCAGAGUAACACGUUCCCGACACAUUAGCGUCUCCUCUGGCAGAUGGCUGAGGGCUGCUGGGAACACUGGAGCGAGCUCUCGGCUCCGGCGCCGUGCUGGAGAGCGCUCGCCGUCGGCUUCUUCACGCGUCCUCCAGCAAUAUGUUGCUCGCCUGGUGGUGGUGGAGGGCGAAGCUUGGCUGGUCCCGGAUCAGCUUUCAGCCAGCGCAGUGGACACGCUGCAGAGUGAGAUGACUGCUGUAACUCUGGAGACUCUGGGGAGAAAUGCAGCCGUCUCUGAGGAUAAAAACCUCCAAAACAGCCCCUCAAACGCCCAUUUUCACAUCUGUCCAGUACCGCCCUUCAUCCAGAAGAUGGCAGUAUUGAACCAGCAGCUCAGACGCUGAAGUCCAAAAUUUGAUCUCAUCAGGAACCGACAAGAGACAGUACAAACAAUGAGUCCCCCUCCACCUCCUCACGCCGUCUCUCCACCUGUCUCUCUCUCUCUCCUGUCUGUCUCUCUGUCUCUGCGCGAGGUGUCGUCAGUAGUCGGCGCACAGUGACACCUGUCAGAGUUUAUCUUUGUUUAAACUGACUGUAAAUGGCUCUGUCAAUAAAUGAGUCACUGUAAGCUAACAGCACCAACUGUACGAGUGUUUGUAGGGUUUCAUAUUGGAAGCAUCGUGUCUCACUCGAUCUGUCUGCUAGUGGAGUUUAAUGCUCAUAGGUUUGUUUUCAUUACUGCAUCAUCACCGGGAUACUGUGUUACCUUACGAGGAGGCGGCCAACAGAGAACAUUAUUAAAUAUUAAAGUAUUAAAUAUGUUAAAUUAAUCCUACAAACUAACUGAAUUGUUGAAGCAAGUGAAUUUAAAUGUGUUCAGUGUUUUAAUUACAGGCGAUUUAAUUCCAGUUUGUUCCAUUAACUCAUUUUCUUUAAGUUGACUUUAUAUAAUUAUAUAAAUAUAAACAUUAUAAUGCUGUAUAGCUCAGGAUUGUUCAAGUUACAGUUUAUAUUUCAGUUUAUUAAUCAUCAUGAGUCCAAAUAUGCAUCCAAUUAAUCCUUAAUGAUCCCUAAAGUGUAAAUAUUUGAUGUUUGGCUACCAUCUUAAUCAAUUAAUAAUAAGUUGUUUUUAUCAUUCAUCAGCUGUUUUGAGCUUUAAUGGAAGAAAACUGAGUAAAUUUAACUUGCAUAAAAAAAGAUGCAUUAAAGAGACUUUAUCCAGAUAAAUUCUGUUCACACAUUUUAAAUAUGUUUGGAGAAAUGCUGCAUAUGAGUUUAACUUCAAAUAACUGAAUGUAAUUAGUACAAAUUAACUUAAUUAACCCAAAUGACUUUAACAAUAAACACUUGAGUAACUUCUACUGAGCAGUUUUGAGUCGAACUCAUCAGUUAUACAUAAGUUUGUUCCUGUGCUGCAAAGCUUUUAAUCACAAUAAUUUUAACCUCACAUCAAAUACAUAUUCAUUUAUUUAUCACAUGAACCUUUUUGAUUAUGAAAUUAUGAAUUAUGCAUCCUGAUCGUAGCAGCACUUACGGGUUUAUAAUUCACACUCAGACUCAUCCACAGCUUUCGUUUUAUAUAUCUACAUAUAUAUAUAGAUAUAUAUAUAUGUGACUCAAAAUUGGCAUCGCCCCUCGAUUUCACCUUUUAAAAUCGACUGUAGAAGCUUCGUCGAGAAGAAGGAUUCAGGU
rnacentral:lncRNA from 15 species